rnacentral:rRNA from 1 species
UACGGGGGGGGCAAGCGUUGUUCGGAAUUACUGGGCGUAAAGGGCACGUAGGCGGCCAACUAAGUCGGAUGUGAAAUCCCCAGGCUUAACCUGGGAACUGCAUCCGAUACUGGAUGGCUUGAAUCCGGGAGAGGGAUGCAGAAUUCCAGGUGUAGCGGUGAAAUGCGUAGAUAUCUGGAGGAAUACCGGUGGCGAAGGCGGCAUCCUGGACCGGCAUUGACGCUGAGUGAGCGAAAGCCAGGGGAGCAAACGGG